UAGAGGAGUCAAGAUCUGUACUGGGAAUGUCACCAAGAACUGGAAACAUGUUUUUCAUAGUAAUGAUCCCAAUAAUAUCUUUCAUAAGUCACACAAAGGCUGAAAUUGAUCAGCCCUUCAAGGUAUUUUCCUCUACAGGACAGAAGACUGUACUGAGAUGUAACCACAGCUUUACAAACUAUAACAGUAUGUACUGGUAUCUGCAGAGACCCAGUGAAGCUCUUCAGCUCUUGAUUUAUGGAUACAAUUCAGCUGAACCUAAGGGACGUUUCUCAAUGACCUUCAAGAUCAAUCUUGUAACUGAGCUUCACAUCAGUGACACUCAGCUGGAAGAUGCUGUGAUGUACUACUGUGCAGUGCAGCCCACAGUGGUGAAGACUGUGAAGAUGUCAGUGGAUAAAAUGCAGUGACAUGGCAACAAAUGUGCUUACAUGACUAUGAAAAAGAGCUCAGAGCUUACUGAAGCAAUCACACAUUUUCAAUUUGAUCUACUGUAUUCUACCAGUUGCCUUAAUGUGAGAUGAUUUCAAAUGUAAGAAAUAUGAUUUUUUUAUUCUAUUUUAAUAGACUUGACAUACAGCAUGAAUAUCAAAGAUAAAAUUAAAGAGAGCAAUUGAAACAUUCGGAAAAUACAUCCAUACCUGCUGGUGUUCUAAGGUUACACAUACAAGAUAAAUAAAUUAAACUGAUAUGGUUCAAAGUAAGACUACAAAUAUAAAUUAAGCUAAAUAUUUGAAAAAUAAUCAAUACCCCCUAUUCCUCCAAAACUGUGUAAUCACAGAGCUGUUCUUUCCAAUUUAAAUUUGGAACCAGAUUCUGUCCAGGUAAUGUGGGCACUAUAAAGAACACCAGGCUUAGAACUUUACAAGAGGAGUUGCUAUGGUAUUUAUAUUAGGAAAUUAUGAUUUCCUAUAUUGUGGAAUUCUAGGGCUAAAAACAAUGCUCCGGUUUUAGUGAUACAGUACAUUUUUAGUACAGAGAAUUUGGUUCCUUUUCAAUUGCAGGCAUUCAUACUUCAGAGGGAUAUUUAACAUCCCACCACUUAUGAAGUGGGACAAUCGUAUCUGUGUAUAUUUAAGGUUACAGUGUUAGUGCUUACAGAAGGUGCAUUGUUGAAUGUGACCAUUUAAUACCUGCAGUUAACAUCAAGGCAAAAUUAUCUGUCAAAGUGAGAUAACAAAUUACUUUGCUAAAGCAGCCAAAAGUGAUUGCUUCCAACGUUUGUUAAGAGAAGAACAGGACAAAAACCGCCUGAGUCUGCACCUAACUAACCUCUGCCAUGUUCCACCUGCAGCUGCACCUUAAAGAAAUCUUGGGAAGUAACUCCAGUCUGUCUGUCCUGCAGGGCAGUCCCAGCAUUGCUUUGCUGUGUGCACUGAGCUCAACAAAGACUAAAACUACACAAGGCCAUCUCCUGCUACUCUGCUGAAGACUUUCCACAACACUUGUCUUAUAUAGAGAUAAAUGUUUCUUAACCUUUAAACUCCAUCUAGCUCAGGCAGGGUAGAAUGACGUUUGGGAGGCCUAGACACUUGAUCAUUAAGGUCACUGAAAUGUUAUGGUUUGAGAGAGGCCAUCACUGCAGUCUUCAUGUCUGAGAGAGGCGGCCCCUGUAACCUUAAUUCCUCAGAGAGGACUUCCCUGAGAGCUUACAUUCUGAGGCAAGCUGUCACAGAAACCUCAUACUCUGAGUUAUUCAGGUUGUCAGUGUUUCUGCAUCAUCAUGAUGUUCUUCUGUAUUCUUCUGGUUUUGACUAUAUCAGGAGAGAGUGGGGCAAACACGAUUGUCCCAACAUCUAAAUCACAAGUUGUCAGCGAGGGACACAGCACUUCCCUCAUCUGUAACUACACAGGUGAUGUCAAAAAUUUACAGUGGUAUCGACAGCUUCCAGGAAGAACCAUGGAAUUCAUCAUCCUCAUCUAUGAGACUGGUACAGAUGUCAAAGCCAGCCCCCCAAUCCCUGGCUUCUCAGCUGCAGUUGAUAAAGAGAAGAAACGUGUGGAGCUGAAACUCUCCUCCGCUACAGUGACAGACUCAGCCCUGUACUACUGCGCCCUGAGCCCCACAGUGACAGGAAACUCACAGCAACGCCAUGCAGAAACUGGCAACACAUAUGUUAAUAUGUGCAGUCAAAAUGAAGUGAAGUGAACACCAUGUACAGAGAAGCUUUUUGGUUGCUUUCAUAUUGUAGAAAUGUAUUGUUUUCUCUGACAUUUAAUUGUUUUCUCCAAUACUUUCAUUGUAAGGGA